UUGGCGGACGGGUGAGUAACACGUGGGUAACCUGCCUCAAAGAGGGGGAUAGCCUCCCGAAAGGGAGAUUAAUACCGCAUAAUAAGUGCAGUUCGCAUGAACCGCACUUUAAAGGAGAAAUCCGCUUUGAGAUGGACCCGCGGCGCAUUAGCUAGUUGGUAAGGCAGCGGCUUACCAAGGCAACGAUGCGUAGCCGACCUGAGAGGGUGAACGGCCACAUUGGAACUGAGAGACGGUCCAAACUCCUACGGGAGGCAGCAGUGGGGAAUAUUGCACAAUGGGCGAAAGCCUGAUGCAGCAACGCCGCGUGAGUGAAGAAGGUUUUCGGAUUGUAAAGCUCUGUCAUCUGGGACGAUAAUGACGGUACCAGAUGAGGAAGCCACGGCUACCUACGUGCCAGCAGCCGCGGUAAUACGA
rnacentral:rRNA from 1 species